UGUGCAUCGUCCUGCCGGUCAUUGGUCAGCGUCCCGUAGCGAUGGCAGAAAGGGGGCCGGGCCGAAAGACCGCCGUCAUAGAAAAAGUCGGAACCGAGCGAUCGUCCGGCGUCCGUGACAGAUACCCGGGACGCUUGGGAGUCGGGCGACAAAAGGAGUGUUUCCGGCUUUUUUUAGCGGGACGGUGGGGUGGCCAGAGAGCGGCCGCCCAGUCACCUCUGCUCCACAGCUGCCCCGGCGUUUGGGCCCCCGCAGCCCAAAGGCGGACAAAGUCUGGCCUGUUUGCAGUGAAGCAUUAAGCUGAGGGUAUUCAUAUACUCACAAGUGAGCAUAUUUAACAUUGCUGAGAAACUAUAGGGAAAAAAAUAAGGCUAUAUAUAUAAAGAUUCUGCCAAGCAGUAAUAGUAGUCUUAAUAAUAAUGACAUUGCAAGGUACUGAAGACGCAGUCCUCAGCAGAAUUAAAAGUGUAAUGACGAAUGAGCAUGAUUUGACAUAAUUCAGUAUUGGUCUGCUGCCAGCAGAUGGCGCCUUUUCCCCACUGCCGGCUGAAGGCAGUGGCUUCUUGUGGACCAGGAGUGGGAGACUUCCUGUCUGCUGUGGGCCCGAGUCCAGUGACCAUGGCUCUGGCUGCAUUGACAACACUAUUUAACAUUUGCAGUAUGUGUUUGAAUAGGCGUGUCUAUUCUUGUACGUAAACUGAGUCCGUUGCCAGGGAUACUGACAAGCCCAUGCCUUCAAUGAAUGGAUAUGUUAAAAGAUUCUUUUUAUUCCGGUUUGGAAAGACAAAAUAUAUUUUUCAACACUCUCUCCUAAAUUUGAAUGGAGGUGACUGAAAAUAGAUUUAUGCAUGGUGUGUUAUUUUGAAGAAAGUUUAGCAUUCGUGUAAACCGUGCAUCGAUUUUUUGACCACUUGUCCGAUAGUGAAUUUUCGACGAGGGCCACGCUUUACCAGUGUGAAGGGCGGCUGGGGGCCACAUUUGCUUUUUAAUAGUUACCUCACUUGACUGUUAGUCAACUACGUAGCUGCACAUUAGUGUACUGUAUUGUGUCUAGAUUAAAAACCAUCUCAAAAUAAUUAAAGUAAUAAUAAUAAUUUAAAAAAUGAAUAAAUCUGAUGGUCAGGAUAAUUUGCUUAUUGUUUUAUUCAGUCCCUCGCCGCUACACUGGCCUACGGGGGGGGAUGCCAGUGGCCCAAAGGCUGUGCAGUGAAGACCACUGGUAUACUAUGCAUGUCAGUAUUUGCACUAAACGUAACAAUGCUCUGCUUAGCAGUGAAAGCCUGGCAUAAAUCUAUUAAAUAUCCAUACAUCAUCUACCCACUUCUCCUGCUGAGGGUUGCAGGGGGAGCCUGGAGCCUGUCCCAUGCAGUACGGAGGUGUAAGGCUGGGCUACGCUCCGGAUGCAGUGCCGAUAAAUCUCUUAAAUAUGUGAUGCUAAAAUCACCGCUGGCUCCACAAUUAUGAUAAAUACCCGAGCGAUUAUGAAGUUAAUAAUUGAAUUUCCUUUAAAUAAUUGAAGUAUGUCAGUCGGCUAACCAGCUAGUUGCUAAUUUAUUUGCCUGCAGCUAAAAACUGUGAGAAACAGUAUUUUAAUACAUGGUUUUGAACUGUAAUAAAUGUAAUAUCCUCUUGAAACACUGG